UCGAACCAGGAGUAGGAGAAAUUUGCAAAAAAUUUAUCAAAUUUUAUAAGAUAUAAAUUCGACGAUCACGAUUGAAUCAGAUAAUGUCGUGGCAGGCGUAUGUCGACGAUCACUUGAUGUGUAACAUCGACGGCCACCACCUGACCGCUGCGGCCAUCCUCGGUCACGACGGUAGUGUGUGGGCCUAGAGCUCCACCUUUCCCAAGGUAGUGAGUGAUGGAGACAGAUUGGUUUGCUUGUUUCAUUAUUUAUGUGCAGUUUAAGCCGGAAGAAAUUACGGCAAUAAUAAAAGAUUUCGUUGAGCCCAGGUCUCUUGCUCCAACUCGAUUACACCUUGGUGGGACAAAGUACGUGGUUAUUCAGGGCGAGGGCGGAGCUGUUAUUUGUGGCAAGAUGCAGGUAUGUGCAGUUGCAACCACCAAAGCUAAUGCCUUUUUCAUGUUCCUUUAUGAUGUAUUGCUUGUUGUCUACGCCAAGUGGUUCUGGUCUAUGUGUUAUCGACAUGAUGGAUCUUUUAAAUGGAUUGAGUCAUUUAGAAUGUAGUAAAGUUCAAUCUGAUUCGAUUUCCAUAACUCAUAUCACCGUCAUGAUUUUCAUAUCCUGAAGUUCUCUUUUUUGGCUUGCAUAUACUUGUUGGUAGUGUUACUGAAAAUAACCGUGACGGAAGGAUUGUCUUUUGGUGUUCUAGGAUUUGUUCAUCUGUCCGAUUUUUCUGUUUUCUUUAAGUUCUGAGUAUCCUUGGGAAUUUUCACCUUACGACGGUGUAGUAAAAAUUAUUUUUUCUAUGUCAAAGAAGAAAUGUUCUUGUAUUAUAGUUGCGGUGGCAGAAAAUGUUAGUGUCUAACAACACUCUAAAUGUAAAUUUGAACCACAUUAUUGCUAAUCUAUUAUGAGGUUUAGCAUACUCGCCCAC